rnacentral:rRNA from 1 species
GAUGAACGCUGGCGGCGUGCCUAAUACAUGCAAGUCGAGCGAACAGACGAGGAGCUUGCUCCUCUGACGUUAGCGGCGGACGGGUGAGUAACACGUGGAUAACCUACCUAUAAGACUGGGAUAACUUCGGGAAACCGGAGCUAAUACCGGAUAAUAUAUUGAACCGCAUGGUUCAAUAGUGAAAGACGGUUUUGCUGUCACUUAUAGAUGAAUCCGCGCCGCAUUAGCUAGUUGGUAAGGUAACGGCUUACCAAGGCGACGAUGCGUAGCCGACCUGAGAGGGUGAUCGGCCACACUGGAACUGAGACACGGUCCAGACUCCUACGGGAGGCAGCAGUAGGGAAUCUUCCGCAAUGGGCGAAAGCCUGACGGAGCAACGCCGCGUGAGUGAUGAAGGUCUUCGGAUCGUAAAACUCUGUUAUUAGGGAAGAACAACUGUGUAAGUAACUAUGCACGUCUUGACGGUACCUAAUCAGAAAGCCACGGCUAACUACGUG